rnacentral:rRNA from 1 species
AGAGUUUGAUUAUGGCUCAGGAUGAACGCUAGCUACAGGCUUAACACAUGCAAGUCGAGGGGCAGCAUGAAGUUUGCUUGCAAACUUGAUGGCGACCGGCGCACGGGUGAGUAACGCGUAUCCAACCUUCCCUAUACUAGAGGAUAGCCCGGCGAAAGUCGGAUUAAUACUCUAUGUUCUUCGUAGAAGACAUCUGAAAUGAAGCAAAGGUUUACCGGUAUAGGAUGGGGAUGCGUCUGAUUAGGUUGUUGGCGGGGUAACGGCCCACCAAGCCUACGAUCAGUAGGGGUUCUGAGAGGAAGGUCCCCCACAUUGGAACUGAGACACGGUCCAAACUCCUACGGGAGGCAGCAGUGAGGAAUAUUGGUCAAUGGACGAGAGUCUGAACCAGCCAAGUAGCGUGCCAGGAUGACGGCCCUAUGGGUUGUAAACUGCUUUUAUACAGGGAUAAAGUGCACUACGUGUAGUGUUUUGUAGGUACUGUAUGAAUAAGGACCGGCUAAUUCCGUGCCAGCAGCCGC